rnacentral:rRNA from 1 species
GACGAACGCUGGCGGCGUGCUUAACACAUGCAAGUCGAACGCUGAAGCUCAGCUUUUGUUGGGUGGAUGAGUGGCGAACGGGUGAGUAACACGUGAGUAACCUGCCCCCUUCUUUGGGAUAACGCCCGGAAACGGGUGCUAAUACUGGAUAUUCACUGGUCUUCGCAUGGGGGUUGGUGGAAAGGGUUUUUCUGGUGGGGGAUGGGCUCGCGGCCUAUCAGCUUGUUGGUGGGGUGAUGGCCUACCAAGGCUUUGACGGGUAGCCGGCCUGAGAGGGUGACCGGUCACAUUGGGACUGAGAUACGGCCCAGACUACUACGGGAGGCAGCAGUGGGGAAUAAUGCACAAUGGGCGCAAGCCUGAUGCAGCGACGCCGCGUGAGGGAUGGAGGCCUUCGGGUUGUGAACCUCUUUCGCUCAUGGUCAAGCCGCAACAAUGGUUGUGGUGAGGGUAGUGGGUAAAGAAGCGCCGGCUAACUACGUG